GAUGAACGCUGGCGGCGUGCCUAAUACAUGCAAGUCGAGCGAACGGACGAGAAGCUUGCUUUUCUGAUGUUAGCGGCGGACGGGUGAGUAACACGCGGAUAACCUACCUAUAAGACUGGGAUAACUUCGGGAAACCGGAGCUAAUACCGGAUAAUAUUUUGAACCGCAUGGUUCAAAAGUGAAAGACGGUCUUGCUGUCACUUAUAGAUGGAUCCGCGCUGCAUUAGCUAGUUGGUAAGGUAACGGCUUACCAAGGCAACGAUGCAUAGCCGACCUGAGAGGGUGAUCGGCCACACUGGAACUGAGACACGGUCCAGACUCCUACGGGAGGCAGCAGUAGGGAAUCUUCCGCAAUGGGCGAAAGCCUGACGGAGCAACGCCGCGUGAGUGAUGAAGGUCUUCGGAUCGUAAAACUCUGUUAUUAGGGAAGAACAUAUGUGUAAGUAACUGUGCACAUCUUGACGGUACCUAAUCAGAAAGCCACGGCUAACUACGUG
rnacentral:rRNA from 1 species